rnacentral:rRNA from 1 species
GACAGAGGUGCCGAGCGUUAGGCGGAAUCACUGGGCUUAAAGCGUGUGUAGGUGGAUGUCUAAGUACCUUGUGAAAUCCCACGGCUUAACCGUGGAACUGCUCGGUAUACUGGAUGUCUUGAGCCAGCUAGGGGCUACCGGAACAAAUGGUGGAGCGGUGAAAUGCGUAGAUAUCCGGAGGAACACCGGUGGCGAAGGCGGCUUCCUGGACCGACACUGACGCUCAGGUGCGAAAGCUAGGGGAGCGAACGGG